rnacentral:rRNA from 1 species
CAAAAUGACUCUCGGCAACGGAUAUCUCGGCUCUCGUAUCGAUGAAGAACGUAGCGAAAUGCGAUACUUGGUGNGAAUUGCCAGAAUCCCGUGAACCAUCGAGUCUUUGAACGCAAGUUGCGCCUGAAGCCUUCUGGCUAAGGGCACGUCUGCCUGGGCGUCACACA